rnacentral:rRNA from 1 species
CCGACCGCCGCUUGCCAGCCACCCUCCAUACUUGGCAAGAAACCUAUACAUUCCCGAGCUGGCACACUCUCCAGCUCGCUCCUCCCCUGCUCCAGAGGGACACGACGGCAGAAUCCAAUAACAGAGCAAGAACCGAGAGCCACCCUCCGAAGAGACGAGGUGUACUUGGAUCGCCGCUCCAUUGUUGUUAAACAAUAUACUAGGUGCCAGUGGUAGUUUUUUAUUGGCUUGGGGGGGUGUGAGAGCCCGUAUUAUUUUAUCCGGGUGGGGAUAAAGAUGUCGUCGCUGGUGUCCGCUCCGUUCGCCACGGCCACCGGGGCGCGGAAGAAGGCGCGCGCGCCCGCGCCGCUGCACUCGUUCCUGCUCGCCGGCCGGCGGGGGCGGCGCGCGGCGAUACGGUGCGCCGUGGCCGGGAACGGGCUGUUCACGCAGACCAACCCAGACGUGCGCCGCGUGGUGCCGGCGGAGCGCGGCCUGCCGCGGGUCAGGGUGGUCUACGUCGUGCUGGAGGCGCAGUACCAGUCCUCGGUCACCGCGGCCGUGAUGCAGCUCAACGCCGACCCGCGCCGCGCCGCCGAGUUCGAGGUCGUCGGCUACCUGGUCGAGGAGCUGCGGGACGCGGACACGUACGCCGCCUUCUGCGACGACGUGGCCGCCGCCAACGUCUUCAUCGGCUCGCUCAUCUUCGUGGAGGAGCUGGCGCUCAAGGUGCGGGACGCCGUGGCGGCGCACCGGGACCGGAUGGACGCCGUGCUCGUCUUCCCGUCCAUGCCGGAGGUGAUGCGGCUCAACAAGCUCGGCUCCUUCAGCAUGGCGCAGCUGGGCCAGUCCAAGAGCCCCUUCUUCCAGCUCUUCAAGCGCAACAAGAAGGACUCGAGCGGCUUCGCCGACAGCAUGCUCAAGCUGGUGCGCACGCUGCCCAAGGUGCUCAAGUACCUGCCCUCCGACAAGGCGCAGGACGCGCGCCUCUACAUCCUCAGCCUCCAGUUCUGGCUCGGCGGCUCGCCCGACAACCUCCAGAACUUCCUCAAGAUGAUCGCCGUCUCCUACGUGCCGGCCCUCAAGGGCGCCGACAUCACGUACAGCGACCCCGUGCUCUUCCUCGACACCGGCAUCUGGCACCCGCUCGCGCCCGCCAUGUUCGACGACGUCAAGGAGUACCUCAACUGGUACGGCACCCGCCGCGACGCCAACGACAGGCUCAAGAACCCCGAGGCGCCCGUCAUCGGCCUCGUCCUCCAGCGGAGCCACAUUGUCACCGGGGACGACGGCCACUACGUCGCCGUGAUCAUGGAGCUCGAGGCCAGGGGCGCCAAGGUCAUCCCCAUCUUCGCCGGCGGGCUCGACUUCUCCGGCCCCAUCGAGCGCUACCUCGUCGACCCCAUCACCAAGAAGCCGUUCGUGAACGCCGUGGUGUCGCUCACCGGGUUCGCGCUCGUCGGCGGGCCGGCCAGGCAGGACCACCCCAAGGCCAUCGCCUCGCUGAUGAAGCUAGACGUGCCGUACAUCGUCGCGCUGCCGCUCGUGUUCCAGACCACGGAGGAGUGGCUCAACAGCACCUUGGGCCUUCACCCCAUCCAGGUGGCGCUGCAGGUUGCGCUCCCGGAGCUCGACGGCGGCAUGGAGCCCAUCGUGUUCGCCGGCCGGGACCCGAGAUCAGGGAAGUCGCAUGCAUUGCACAAGAGGGUGGAGCAGCUCUGCACUAGAGCGAUCAGAUGGGCAGAACUCAAGAGGAAAACUAAGAUGGACAAGAAACUAGCCAUCACCGUUUUCAGCUUCCCACCAGACAAGGGCAAUGUCGGCACUGCAGCAUACCUGAAUGUCUUCAGUUCCAUCUAUUCUGUCCUCAAGGAUCUCAAGAAGGAUGGCUACAAUGUCGAGGGUCUUCCAGAGACACCUGAAGAACUCAUUGAGGAGGUUAUUCAUGAUAAGGAGGCCCAGUUCAACAGCCCCAACCUCAAUGUUGUUUACCGCAUGAAUGUGCGGGAGUACCAAGCACUCACCCCCUACGCCAACAUGCUGGAGGAGAACUGGGGCAAGCCACCUGGGCAUCUCAACUCUGAUGGUGAGAACCUCCUUGUCUAUGGGAAGCAGUAUGGCAACAUCUUCAUCGGAGUGCAGCCCACUUUUGGCUAUGAAGGUGAUCCAAUGCGGCUUCUGUUCUCAAAGUCUGCCAGCCCUCACCAUGGGUUUGCGGCAUACUACACUUUUGUUGAGAAGAUCUUCAAGGCAGAUGCUGUUCUGCACUUCGGCACACACGGGUCCCUUGAGUUCAUGCCCGGGAAACAAGUUGGAAUGAGUGAUGCAUGCUUCCCUGAUAGUCUGAUUGGUAACAUCCCCAACAUCUACUACUAUGCAGCAAACAACCCUUCAGAGGCAACAGUGGCCAAGCGUCGAAGCUAUGCAAACACCAUAAGCUACCUGACACCACCAGCUGAGAAUGCCGGUCUGUACAAGGGGCUGAAGCAGCUGUCAGAGCUCAUCGCCUCUUACCAGUCACUCAAGGACACGGGCCGUGGCAACCAGAUUGUGAGCUCAAUCAUCAGCACUGCAAAACAGUGUAACCUGGACAAGGAUGUUGACUUGCCCGAUGAAGGCGAGGAGCUCCCAGCCAAUGAGCGUGACCUCGUCGUCGGGAAGGUGUAUGGAAAGCUCAUGGAGAUAGAGUCACGGCUACUGCCAUGUGGUCUGCAUGUGAUAGGUGAGCCACCAACUGCUGUCGAAGCUGUGGCCACAUUGGUGAACAUAGCUGCCCUUGACCGCCCAGAGGAGAACAUAUUCUCGCUGCCCGGCAUUCUUGCUGCGACGGUGGGCAGGACCAUUGAAGAUGUGUACAGGGGUAGCGACAAGGGCAUACUGGCUGAUGUUGAACUCCUGAAGCAGAUCACUGAAGCUUCACGAGGUGCCGUAGGUGCCUUUGUUGAGAAGACUACAAACAGCAAAGGGCAAGUUGUUGAUGUUAAAAGCAAACUCAGUUCCAUCCUUGGCUUUGGUCUCUCAGAGCCAUGGGUGGAGUACCUGUCCCAGACCAAGUUCAUCAGGGCGGACAGAGAUAAGCUGAGGACCUUGUUUGGAUUCUUGGGAGAGUGCCUGAAGCUGAUUGUGGCAGACAAUGAGCUGGGAGCCUUGAAGACUGCCCUUGAGGGAAGCUAUGUUGAGCCUGGCCCUGGUGGUGAUCCCAUCCGUAACCCAAAGGUUCUCCCAACAGGGAAGAACAUCCAUGCUCUCGACCCGCAGUCUAUCCCGACUGCAGCUGCCAUGAAGAGUGCCAAGAUUGUUGUGGAACGUCUGCUGGAGCGGCAAAAGGCUGACAAUGGUGGCAAGUAUCCUGAGACAAUUGCACUUGUCUUGUGGGGCACCGACAACAUCAAGACCUACGGCGAGUCACUGGCCCAGGUGAUGUGGAUGCUUGGUGUGGAGCCGGUUACUGAUGGGCUUGGCCGUGUCAACCGUGUGGAGCCCGUCAGCAUUGAGGAGCUUGGACGCCCUAGGAUUGAUGUCGUCGUCAACUGCUCGGGUGUGUUCAGAGAUCUUUUCAUCAACCAGAUGAAUCUGCUGGACCGGGCAGUAAAGAUGGUUGCUGAACUGGAUGAGCCAAUUGAGAUGAACUAUGUGCGCAAGCAUGCCCAGGAGCAGGCAGAGGAGCUCGGUGUCUCGGUAAGAGAGGCGGCAACAAGGAUCUUCUCAAAUGCAUCAGGCUCUUACUCGUCGAAUGUGAACUUGGCAGUGGAGAAUGCAUCAUGGACAGAUGAGAAGCAGCUCCAGGACAUGUACCUGAGCCGCAAGUCUUUUGCGUUCGACAGUGAUGCUCCAGGGGUAGGCAUGCUAGAGAAACGCAAGACGUUUGAGCUUGCUCUAGCAACAGCAGAUGCCACAUUCCAAAACCUGGACUCGUCGGAGAUCUCACUGACGGAUGUCAGCCACUACUUCGACUCAGACCCGACGAAGCUGGUGCAAGGGCUGCGGAAGGAUGGGCGGGCACCUUCAUCGUACAUAGCAGACACAACCACGGCAAAUGCACAGGUGCGGACAUUGUCGGAGACGGUGCGUCUUGAUGCAAGGACAAAGCUACUGAACCCUAGGUGGUACGAGGGGAUGAUGAAGAGUGGCUAUGAGGGAGUUAGAGAGAUCGAGAAGCGGCUGACAAAUACUGUUGGAUGGAGUGCAACAUCCGGGCAGGUGGACAACUGGGUUUACGAGGAAGCAAAUACCACAUUCAUUGAAGAUGAAGAGAUGAGGAAGAGGCUGAUGGACACCAACCCCAAUUCGUUCAGGAAACUGCUUCAAACCUUCCUAGAAGCAAAUGGCAGGGGCUACUGGGAGACAUCAGAGGAUAACUUGGAAAGGCUCAGGGAGCUCUACUCGGAGGUUGAAGACAAGAUCGAAGGAAUUGACCGGUGAACUCAUUUCACUGAUCAACCAGUUCCAGCAUUUGACCAAGAAGAAAUAUUCUUCUGCCUUGCUGAGUCGAAACUUGUAUAAUUUGUGAUUUAUAAAAGUUGUAACAUGCCAUACAGACCUUUAACAAAGAGGGUGGUUCGUUGUGAAUGUAAAAAGGAAGCAUGAGUAGAAGUUCUUUUUUGGUACUUUGCUGUCACAUGUUCAUCUACAGAUAUAGUAACAGAGAAUGGAGUAUCAUUUUUAACUGUUUUAACAAAGUAACAUUUGAAGUUUAG